GUCGGUGUAGCUUAGUGGUUGAGUUCAUGCUUUGUAUGUAUGUCCUGGGUUCAAUCCCCAGCUUCUUUA